UACGUAGGGGCCUAGCGUUGUCCGGAUUUAUUGGGCGUAAAGAGCUCGUAGGCGGUUUGGUAAGUCGGGUGUGAAAUCUCCACGCUCAACGUGGAGGGGCCACCCGAUACUGCCAUGACUGGAGUCCGGUAGGGGAGUGUGGAAUUCCCGGUGUAGCGGUGAAAUGCGCAGAUAUCGUUUGGAACGCCAAUGGUGAAAACAGCUAGCUGGGGAUGUGCCGACGCUGAGACACGAAAGCCAGGGGAGCGAACGGG
rnacentral:rRNA from 1 species